rnacentral:tRNA from 1 species
UAUAAGGUGUCCGAGAUUUUAGGUAUUGGUUUGUAAAACCAGGAACGGGGGACUUCCUCUCUUAUAA